rnacentral:rRNA from 1 species
UGGGGAAUUUUGGACAAUGGGCGAAAGCCUGAUCCAGCAAUGCCGCGUGUGUGAAGAAGGCCUUCGGGUUGUAAAGCACUUUUGUCCGGAAAGAAAUCCUUGGCUCUAAUACAGUCGGGGGAUGACGGUACCGGAAGAAUAAGCACCGGCUAACUACGUGCCAGCAGCCGCGGUAAUACGUAGGGUGCAAGCGUUAAUCGGAAUUACUGGGCGUAAAGCGUGCGCAGGCGGUUUGCUAAGACCGAUGUGAAAUCCCCGGGCUCAACCUGGGAACUGCAUUGGUGACUGGCAGGCUAGAGUAUGGCAGAGGGGGGUAGAAUUCCAUGUGUAGCAGUGAAAUGCGUAGAGAUGUGGAGGAAUACCGAUGGCGAAGGCAGCCCCCUGGGCCAAUACUGACGCUCAUGCACGAAAGCGUGGGGAGCAAACAGGAUUAGAUACCCUGGUAGUCCACGCCCUAAAACGAUGUCAACUAGUUGUUGGGGAUUCAUUUCCUUAGUAACGUAGCUAACGCGUGAAGUUGACCGCCUGGGGAGUACGGUCGCAAGAUUAAAACUCAAAUGAAUUGACGGGGUCAUAGCUGUUUCCU